rnacentral:rRNA from 1 species
AGACAGAUGCUGGGAUGUGAUGGGGAGCGAAAUUUAGUAGCGAAGUAGCUGAUUUCACACUGUCAAGAAAAGUCUCUAUCGAGGUUAAAGGUACCCGUACCGCAAACCGACACAGGUGGGUGAGGAGAGUAGCCUAAGGCCAGCGAGAGAACUGUUGUUAAGGAACUCGGCAAAAUGACCCCGUAACUUAGGGAUAAGGGGUGCCACCAUCAGGUGGCCGCAGAGAAUAGGCCCAAGCGACUGUUUACCAAAAACAUAGGUUUCUGCUAAGUCGCAAGACGAUGUAUAGGAGCUGACGCCUGCCCGGUGCUGG